AUUGAACGCUGGCGGCAGGCUUAACACAUGCAAGUCGAGCGGAGAUGAGGUGCUUGCACCUUAUCUUAGCGGCGGACGGGUGAGUAAUGCUUAGGAAUCUGCCUAUUAGUGGGGGACAACAUUCCGAAAGGAAUGCUAAUACCGCAUACGCCCUACGGGGGAAAGCAGGGGAUAUUCGGACCUUGCGCUAAUAGAUGAGCCUAAGUCGGAUUAGCUAGUUGGUGGGGUAAAGGCCUACCAAGGCGACGAUCGGUAGCGGGUCUGAGAGGAAGAUCAGCCACGCUGGGACUGAGACACGGCCCAGACUCCUACGGGAGGCAGCAGUGGGAAUAUUGGACAAUGGGCGGAAGCCUGAACCAGCCAUGCCGCGUGUGUGAAGAAGGCCUUUUGGUUGUAAAGCACUUUAAGCGAGGAGGAGGCUACCUGGAUUAAUACUCUAGGAUAGUGGACGUUACUCGCAGAAUAAGCACCGGCUAACUCUGUACCAGCAGCCGCCGUAAAAC
rnacentral:rRNA from 1 species